rnacentral:rRNA from 1 species
AGUGAACGCUGGCGGUAGGCCUAACACAUGCAAGUCGAACGGCAGCACAGGAGAGCUUGCUCUCUGGGUAGCGAGUGGCGGACGGGUGAGGAAUACAUCGGAAUCUACUUUUUCGUGGGGGAUAACGUAGGGAAACUUACGCUAAUACCGCGUACGACCUACGGGUGAAAGCAGGGGACCUUCGGGCCUUGCGCGAUUGAAUGAGCCGAUGUCGGAUUAGCUAGUUGGCGGGGUAAAGGCCCACCAAGGCGGCGAUCCGUAGCUGGUCUGAGAGGAUGAUCAGCCACACUGGAACUGAGACACGGUCCAGACUCCUACGGGAGGCAGCAGUGGGGAAUAUUGGACAAUGGGCGCAAGCCUGAUCCAGCCAUACCGCGUGGGUGAAGAAGGCCUUCGGGUUGUAAAGCCCUUUUGUUGGGAAAGAAAUCCAGCUGGCUAAUACCCGGUUGGGAUGACGGUACCCAAAGAAUAAGCACCGGCUAACUUCGUGCCAGCCGCCGCGGUAA